GGAGUUUGGACCGUGUCUCAGUUCCAAUGUGGGGGACCUUCCUCUCAGAACCCCUACUGAUCGUCGGCUUGGUGAGCCGUUACCUCACCAACUACCUAAUCAGAAGCGUGCUCACCCAUAGUCCUUACGUUUCAUCACAAAGUCAUGCGGCUUCGUGACACAUGGAGCUUUAAUCCAACUUUCGCUGGGCUAUUCCCCGACUAUGGACAGAUUGCACACCUGUUACGCACCCGUGCGCCGGUCGCCACCAAAGAAAGCAAGCUUCCUUCGUGCUGCCCCUCGACUUGCAUGUGUUAGGCCUGUCGCUAGCGUUCAUC
rnacentral:rRNA from 1 species